rnacentral:misc_RNA from 1 species
AGCAGCCGCGGUAAUUCCAGCUCCAAUAGCGUAUAUUAAAGUUGUUGCAGUUAAAAAGCUCGUAGUUGAAUUUCGGGAUUAAGGAAUCGGUCAUGCCUCGGUAUGUACUGGUUUUAUUGGUUCUCACCUUCUAAAGAACCAUGAUGUCAUUCAUUUGAUGUUAUGGGGAAUUAGGACUGUUACCUUGAAAAAUUAGAGUGUUUAAAGCAGGCUUACGCUUGAAUACAUUAGCAUGGAAUAAUGAAAUAGGACAUCAGAUUCUAUUUUGUUGGUUUCUAGGAUCGAUGUAAUGAUUAAUAGGGAUAGUUGGGGGCAUUAGUAUUCAAUUGUCAGAGGUGAAAUUCUUGGAUUUAUUGAAGACUAACUACUGCGAAAGCAUUUGCCAAGGAUGUUUUCAUUAAUCAAGAACGAAAGUUAGGGGAUCGAAGACGAUCAGAUACCGUCGUAGUCUUAACCAUAAACUAUGCCGACUAGGGAUCGGAUGAUGUUUAUUUUUAGUGACUCAUUCCGG